rnacentral:pre_miRNA from 1 species
UACGUACUCCCUCCGUCCAAAAUUCUUGUCUUAGAUUUGCCUAGAUACGGAUGUAUCUAAUACUAAAAUGUGACUUGAUACAUCCAUAUUUAGACAAAUUUAAGACAAGAAUUUUGGGACGGAGGGAGUACUUG